rnacentral:rRNA from 1 species
CGUGUAGGUGGUUAGAUAAGUCAGAUGUGAAAGCUUCCGGCUUAACCGGAAAGCUGCAUUUGAAACUGUUUAGCUUGAGUGUGGGAGAGGGUAGCGGAAUUCCCAGUGUAGCGGUGAAAUGCGUAGAUAUUGGGAAGAACACCAGUAGCGAAGGCGGCUACCUGGCUCGCAACUGACGCUAAUGCGCGAAAGCGUGGGGAGCAAACA